UACGUAGGGGGCAAGCGUUGUCCGGAAUCAUUGGGCGUAAAGAGCGUGUAGGCGGCUCGGUAAGUCCGCUCUGAAAGCCCGGGGCUCAACCCCCGGGAGGCGGGCGGAUACUGUCGGGCUAGAGUCCGGAAGAGGUGAGUGGAAUUCCUGGUGUAGCGGUGAAAUGCGCAGAUAUCAGGAGGAACACCAAUGGCGAAGGCAGCUUGCUGGGACGGUACUGACGCUGAGACGCGAAAGCGUGGGGAGCAAACAGG
rnacentral:rRNA from 1 species